AACGAACGCUGGCGGCAGGCCUAACACAUGCAAGUCGAGCGCCCUUUCGGGGGAGCGGCGGACGGGUGAGUAACGCGUGGGAAUAUGCCCUUCUCUACGGAAUAGCCUCGGGAAACUGAGAGUAAUACCGUAUACGCCCUGUGGGGGAAAGAUUUAUCGGGGAAGGAUUAGCCCGCGUUGGAUUAGGUAGUUGGUGGGGUAAUGGCCUACCAAGCCGACGAUCCAUAGCUGGUUUGAGAGGAUGAUCAGCCACACUGGGACUGAGACACGGCCCAGACUCCUACGGGAGGCAGCAGUGGGGAAUCUUAGACAAUGGGGGCAACCCUGAUCUAGCCAUGCCGCGUGAGUGAUGAAGGCCUUAGGGUUGUAAGGCUCUUUCAGCUGGGAAGAUAAUGACGGUACCAGCAGAAGAAGCCCCGGCUAACUCCGUG
rnacentral:rRNA from 1 species